GCUGCAGCAUCUCACAGGGGCUGCUUGGUUCUCCUCCUCCUAUCCCAAGAAUAGAUGGGAUAAUCUUGGCAAAACAGUUGUGCUCCUUUUAAAUACACAAAUGAGUGGCAAGGCUUCCAGGUAAGAACAAAGUAUCCUUUUCUUCUAGAACAGGAAUUUCUAGCAGCUGAAGAUUUAGCAAAUGAGGCACAUUUUUCAGCAUCUUUAAAUGCCAAAUUAUUUCAUUUCCUUUCUUUGAUGGGUCUGUAAAUAAACAUUUCAAAGACUUAAUUCUAGAGCUGCUAGGGGGAAAGAUACUACGCUGCCUGGAGAAGUAUCUUUACCCUGGAAAUAGACCAACUUGAACAGGAAACUAUAGACAAAAGGACAAUGACAACCUUCAUUUUGGGAAUCAUCUGGAAAAGCUUAAAAAAGAUUCUGGCAAGAUAAGGAACAUAUCUUGUUGCCCUGUUUUCACUGGGAAGUGAAGAACUUAAGAUAUUAACAUCACCAACACUAAGGAAGGAGGUUGUCUAAAAGAUUACAGCUGAUCACCACCACCAUGGAGAAAGUUACAAUGAUGAUGCAUCUUCUCAUCCCUGAAUGGCCCCUUGUUACUCCUGGGGAGAUUAAUGAACUGGUUGGGCAACAAAGUUCUGGGAAAGCACCUGGAGGUGAUUUUGUCCCCAUUGAACUGAUCAUGUCUAAUCUGGCAUGGUGGGCUCCGGUAUUAGCAUCACUCUUUACAUCUAUUAAUCGGACUGCUUGUAUACCUCACGAUUGAGGCUUGUCUAUAAUGAUCCCGAUCUUUAAGAAAGGAAAUAAA